CCUACGGGUGGCAGCAGUGAGGAAUAUUGGUCAAUGGACGCGAGCCUGAACCAGCCAAGUAGCGUGAAGGAUGACUGCCCUCCGGUUUGUAACCUUCUUUUAUAAGGGAAUAAAGUGAGGCACGUGUGCCUUUUUGUAUGUCCUUUAUGAAUAAGCAUCGGCUAACUCAGUGCCAGCAGCCGCGGUAAUACGGAGGAUCCGAGCGUUAUCCGGAUUUAUUGGGUGUAAAGGGAGCGUAGAUGGGUUGGUAAGUUAGUUGUGAAAGUUUGCGGCUCAAACCUAAUAUUGCAAUUGAUACUGGCAGUCUUGAGUGCAGGUGAGGUAGGCGGAAUUCGUGGUGUAGCGGUGAAAUGCUUAGAUAUCACGAAGAACUCCGAUUGCGAAGGCAACUUACUAAACUGCCACUGACAUUGAGGCUCGAAAGUGUGGGUAUCAAACAGGAUUAGAUACCCUAGUAGUC
rnacentral:rRNA from 1 species